rnacentral:lncRNA from 1 species
AUUUCGAUUGCUUGAAUGUUUUACGUUUAAAUUUCCAGUUUUUAGUUUAUAUAUAGGCCAUGUUGAGUCCAAACACUGUGUUUAGGUUGAAUAAAAAUGGUUUGGAAAAGUGUUUAUGCAAAAUUGCUCUCACUCAAAAUAUAAAUGAGUAUAAAGGAAAACUAGCAUUGUUAUUGUUAUUAAAAUUUUUAUCUGUAAAUUGUUUGGAUGGUAAUGGUAGUCUCUGAAUUGUUUGGGUGGUAAUAAUAGUCUGUAAAUUGUCUGGCUGAUAAUGAUAGUCUGUGAAUUGUCUGGGUGGUAAUGAUAGUCUUUGAAUUGUUUGGGUGGCAAUGGUAGUCUCAGAAUUGUUUGGGUGGUAAUGAUACUUAGUGAGUUGUUUGGGUGGUAAUGAUUGUUUUUACUAAUAUUUAUAUAGUACUAGUAGAUAUCACCAAAAAAUCUUUUUUCUAGGGCAUUUUUAUGAGUUUUAGCAAAUGGUGUUGUUUUAAACUAAAACUUUAAAACAAAACAAAAACAAUGUCAGAAAAAGAAAGCAAAUAGUGUGCUUUCUAUUUUCAUUAAUUAACUAUUAAGGAAAUACCUGUUUUUUUAAAUUAAUUUAGCUUUGGAAACAAACAUUUAAGUUAAAAGUCAACAAAAAGCUCUAAAUAGCUGGAAGUAAACAUUAAAGUUGCAGGCUUGGACGGGAAUGGCGUGCGAUCGGACGCUGUGUUUGACCACGCACAUAUUAACAAUGUUUUGAAAAUAAAACCACGGUUGCUUUGAUGUUUUGACUAAUAAAUACGUUUUUUCGGCCUAUGGGAAAUGCGUUAAAAUAACCAAACUAAAUUAAAUUAUAGAGAACAAUUUAAAAAAUAUGUAUUUUUUUUUUUUUACACAUUUCCAACGAAAGAAGAGAAAAGAAAACUAAAACUGUAAAAGUACUAACUCAAAGCGACAAUUAUUUUAAGUUACGUUAGUUAACGUUAGAAAUAAAUGACUUUUAUCUUUUGUUACUUUAUUUUUUGCAAACAAGUUAAACUAUUGAAUCGCUUUAUUGCUACAACGUUUAGGUCUUUUGUUGUUGUCAGGCUGAGCGUUAAUACAUUUUUCCAGCAAGAGUUCAGUCGUAGCUAGACCGCUGAAUAAACGGUCAGAAUAGGGCUGUUAUACCUUGAUAUAUAUUUUUUUAAUCAAAUCCGUUGGAUUAUUGAUCAAUAAGCUUUAUUUUAUAAAUUUAUAUUUCUUCUUAGUUGCAUUUUUUGAAUCCGAUAAAUUUUGUUAUGCAUCGGAAUAAUAAUUAUUUAAUAAGAUUUUUCUUAAUUUAAAUUUUGUUUAACAAUUAAUUCGUCACUUUAUUUAUAAGUGCUUCACACUAUAAUUUUUAAGUUUUUUAAUAAAGUUUCAAAAUUUUUGAUGUCGUAAUUUAAAGUAAUAAAUAAAAUAUUCGUUUAAAAGAUUCAUAAACAUUGCAUGACAAAAAAAAAUACUUUUUAACUUUUACAUUUAUCAUACACUUUUAUCGUAAGCACUUAUCAUGCAAAUCGUUAGUUCUCUCUCGCGGAAAUUCUCAUUAAACAUAACGGCGUAAACAUUAGACGUUACUCUUUAAAAUCUUUGCGCAAGAGAGCAAAUGCUUUUUAAAAGCAUUGGUUCUCAUGCGCAAAGACUUUAAAGAGUAACGUCUAUUGUUUACCUGCUUAUGUUUAAUGAAUAUCUCCGCGAAGGAGAACUAAUUAUUUGACAAGGAAUUAGUUCAACUUAGCGUGACGGUAGACUUUGUGGAUGGAAAAAAAAUGUUACAAAUAACAUUUUUAAAUAUUUUUAAUAAAGCGUCUAAUUAAAAUAAUCGUUACAAACACUUAGUAGAUUUAUUUUAAAGUUUCGCAUGUAAAGUUUUAAAAAAAAAUUAUUAAUUCCUACCGUUUAUCAGAAACAAAAUAUUCGUUUAAAAGAUUUAAAAUAAAAACAUGGAAAGGUAUAUUCUAACGUUUACAUUAAAAAAAAAAAAAAACAUGCUUAUAAAUAUAAUAAUGCAAAAAAACUUAGAUAUUCUUUGGUGAUAUAAACGAAAUGAAAGUAAUCCUUAGAAGUAAUUUUCACUUUGUUUAAAUGCCUUCACAUAAUAUACAAACUUAAGCAAAGAUGAUUUUUGUGAACGAAUAAUCUCAAAACGUUUUGAAAGAAGAUCUUAAAGAUCGUCGUUCAUAAAGUUUCGAGCUUAUUCAUUACUUUCGUUAUAAAAAUUCGCUCAAAAAAUAAUCUUUGAAAAACAAAAUAUUCGUUUGAAAGAUUUAAAAUAAAAACAUAAAAAAAUACUUUUAAGCGUUAGAAAACAAACUUAAAUAAAAGUUUCGUAUACGUUUUCGUAAUAAUAAUUUGUUUAUUUUAAGCAAUCUUUUAAAGUAAUUUGUUAUUUUGUUUAAAGGUGUUCACAUAAUAUAAAAACUUUGAAAAAGGUAAACGAUUAAAAGUUAUUUCGUAAAUUUUACUAGUUUCUUUCGACGCAUUUCUGAAGCGUUUUAUUUGUCAAAGCAACCGUGGUUAAAUUGUCUAAAAAAAUUAUUGUUCCCGUGGUCAAACAAAGCGCGUGAUCGCACGCCAUUCCCGUCCAAGCCUGAAGUUGAAAGUCAACAAAAACAAGAGAGUUAAAGAGUGAGAAGGAAAAACUGUAAAUUGUACAAGUCAAGAAAACAUGAAGACAGGAUUUCAAUUCACCAAUGUUUGAGAAAGAUAAAUAGAUCAAGUUUUUUAAUCAAGAAGUUACAGUAAAAAAUGCAACUUUACUGAAUAAUUAAUCUUGCGAGUGUUGGUUGAUGGAACAAGUAUUACAUACAAAAGAGAGAUAUGGUUUUAUGACUAUGUGACAGAGGCAGAAGUCUGACAGCUGGAAUAAUUCCAACUUUUACAAAAAUUAUGUCAUUUUAGGAUGAAGGAGAAUGAUAAAUAACAAAAGAAAUGUGGUUGAGUAAAAAAUAACAAAAGAAAUGUGGUUGAGUAAAAAGGUACUAAACAAAAGUACAUGAAAGAAUAGUCACAGGAUUGAAACCUUUUUAAUGACAAAUAGGUGAAUUGAUAUCCAAUAUAUACUAAAGAACCUCAUUGAUAUCAUUUAUUGAUAGUGCAUGAUAUUCUAAUCAACCCAAAAUAGUAACAAAGUUAUUGUUGUUAAUGGAAUCAGUCUCUGAGUUUGGAAAACCUUACUUCCAGCUGGCCUCAGAACCAUUAAAAGGAGUUUUCGAAAAAUAAAUCAAGUAUAAUAAAUUCUAAAUAAAAUAAUUAAAAUGUAAAUAAAUAACAAAAAAAA